ensembl:snoRNA
GAUUGAUGACUUAAAUUGUUGGAUAUCCUCUCACUCCUUUGAUGGAUGAAACUUAACAGUCUGACAAAC